rnacentral:rRNA from 1 species
AGAGUUUGAUUCUGGCUCAGGACGAACGCUGGCGGCGUGCUUAACACAUGCAAGUCGAACGAUGAAGCCUAGCUUGCUAGGUGGAUUAGUGGCGAACGGGUGAGUAAUACGUGAGUAACCUACCUUUAACUCUGGGAUAAGCCUGGGAAACUGGGUCUAAUACCGGAUACGACCAAUCUCCGCAUGGGGUGUUGGUGGAAAGCGUUAUGUAGUGGUUAUAGAUGGGCUCACGGCCUAUCAGCUUGUUGGUGAGGUAACGGCUCACCAAGGCGACGACGGGUAGCCGGCCUGAGAGGGUGACCGGCCACACUGGGACUGAGACACGGCCCAGACUCCUACGGGAGGCAGCAGUGGGGAAUAUUGCACAAUGGGCGCAAGCCUGAUGCAGCGACGCCGCGUGAGGGAUGACGGCCUUCGGGUUGUAAACCUCUGUUAGCAGGGAAGAAGAGAGAUUGACGGUACCUGCAGAGAAAGCGCCGGCUAACUACGUGCCAGCAGCCGCGGUAAUACGUAGGGCGCGAGCGUUGUCCGGAAUUAUUGGGCGUAAAGAGCUUGUAGGCGGUUUGUCGCGUCUGCUGUGAAAGGCCGGAGCUUAACUCCGUGUAUUGCAGUGGGUACGGGCAGACUAGAGUGCAGUAGGGGAGACUGGAAUUCCUGGUGUAGCGGUGGAAUGCGCAGAUAUCAGGAGGAACACCGAUGGCGAAGGCAGGUCUCUGGGCUGUAACUGACGCUGAGAAGCGAAAGCAUGGGGAGCGAACAGGAUUAGAUACCCUGGUAGUCCAUGCCGUAAACGUUGGGCACUAGGUGUGGGGGACAUUCCACGUUUUCCGCGCCGUAGCUAACGCAUUAAGUGCCCCGCCUGGGGAGUACGGCCGCAAGGCUAAAACUCAAAGGAAUUGACGGGGGCCCGCACAAGCGGCGGAGCAUGCGGAUUAAUUCGAUGCAACGCGAAGAACCUUACCAAGGCUUGACAUAUACUGGACCGCAUCAGAGAUGGUGUUUCCCUUCGGGGCUGGUAUACAGGUGGUGCAUGGUUGUCGUCAGCUCGUGUCGUGAGAUGUUGGGUUAAGUCCCGCAACGAGCGCAA